ensembl:lncRNA
CAAACAGCUGCUUGAACUUCACACCAAGGCUUAACUUCAUCCUGAGAAAGGUAAGAUCAACGCCUGAGCAGUUCACCCCGAACUCCCUUUCAAGUUCAUGAAGAUUUUAUUAGCACAUUCAAUAGAAUCAAGCAGCCUGGAAGGCCAACAGUAUCCUGGUCUGCAUCAAAAGAGAAGAGACAGCAGGAAGAGGGAGGUGAUUGUCCUCUCCUCUGCCCUCAAGAGCCCCCAUCUGAACUGCUGCAUUCAAGCUUGGGACCGCGAGCACAAGAAGGAUGCAAAACUGUUGAAGUGAGUCCAGAGGAGGCCAUGAAGAUGCUCAGAGGCUGGAGCACCUCACCUACUAAGACAGUCUGAGGAAGCUGGUGUUAUCUAUCCUGGAGAAAAGAAGAGUUUAAGGAGGCUUUAUUGUGGCAUUCCAGUACCUAAAGAGGCCUACAGAAAAGAUGGAGAGGGACUCCGUCAGGUGGUAGCAGAAAGGCUAAUGAUUCUUAACUAGAAGAGUGUAGAUUUAUACCAGAUAUUAGGAAGAAAUUCUUAAGGAAUUCUCCUUUAAGCGAUAGUAAACUAUUAAGUGUAAGCUAUUUAAAUCAGCUAACAUCUGAUGAGCAUCAUCUGAUUGAUUUAGUCUUACAGAUAAAUUUCAGUACAGCUAAUGAAUUAGCCUUUACUGAAGUAUGGAGGAACUCUAUGUUUACUGAUGAGCUGAGUCCAAUAAUUCUAAACAAAUUACAGUGUAUCAAAUGCUUACAGAAAAUUCAUCACAGUAUAGUAUAUGUAUAGUACAUUAAAAAGUUCGUUCCUUGGUGACUUUUACUAAAUAUAUUUCUCAUUUAGUUUAGAAAAGUGAAAUCUAUAUAGAAAAAUCUACAUAGAAAAAUUAUUACAAACAUUUUUCAUAUAAUUACCAUGAAAAUUAUUUACAACUUGAGUUACGGUUGCAAACAAGGGGAUCUGUCAGGAUUUCAGAGUGCUGGACAACAGAUGAACAACCAAAAUGCAGUCUCAGUCCCGAAGAGAUUACUAAUGAAUAACAUAAAACAUAAAAACAUUCUCAUCAGUCACCAUUAGAUUUAGGAAUUAUUGUUAAUAUGCAACAGAUGCUUCUAUUAAUCUAAAUUACAGCCAAUUUUCUAUGUGGAAAAGCCAUCACUAGGAUUGUUUCUACUGUCAGUAAUGAUAAUACUUUCAUAGCAGUUUUGAGCCUAAAAGUGCUUUACAAACAUUAGGUAACAAGCUUCCUAACACCUCAUAAAAUUAAUUUUAGGCAGGUGAAUGCAUGUUUCACUCAUUAUUUAAAAAAAUAAAAAGACAGGCACUUAUGGGUUCAUGUAGGAAGAAGGCAUUACUAGAAAUUACAAUCAAAUAUCAUGACUCUUAAGCUAUACUUCAACUGUUAUCUCCUGCCUCAGAAGUACAGGACACCAAUGUGCAUUCCCUUGUGCAUCCCUUCAUCUACUUUUUUAGUAAUAUCUUGCUUUCUGAGAAAAAGCUGGUGUGUCAGAAGGCUUUUCUUUUUUUUGGUUUUGGAUGUGGUUUUGCUUUUCUCACAUAUGUAACUUAGUCUAGCAAGGCCUAUUAUCUCUUCUUAUAAAUGCGACUUAAUGCAGUGGCACUUUGUGGCUCUUUCAUAAAAGAAAGUUGGUCUGUGUGCCCACAUAGAAGGAUAAAAUAGCAAUGUGUGUAGACAGAUGUAACAAACAAAAAUCGAAGUUCAGUCGUAGACACCAUUUCAUCAGGCCUGUUAAAAUACCUGGCUUAUACUGCAUGAGAUGCAGGAAAAGGAAUGGCAGAAUUAUUUACAACUGAAAUCAUGAAACUGAACCCAUAAAACCUGUUCAAUUUCUACACAUGGAGGAAAAAAAAGAAAAAAAAAAAAAAAGUAAUUUGGUAGAAAGAACAAAGGGACAGAUCACCAAAUAAGUUUUCUAUUACUCACAAACUGUAUCAUUCAGAUGAAUAUCAGCCAUUUCUAUACGUCGUUUUGGAAUGAUCCUCUCUGCAAUCCUGCCAUGCCCUGACAUAAUAUAACAAAGUUUCCCCUGCAGGGAAAUCCUGUUCCUUUUCAGUUUUGCUUGAGACCUUUUGAUGUUUCCAAAGUCCAUGUGCUAUUUGAUUCAUAAAAACAGAUGUGGUUUGGGACCUUACAAUAAAGGCCAGGUUUUUACCUGCCAAGAGUAUGUUUUAAAAGCUAACAUAUAUGACCCAGAUCCUCAGUUGCUGUGGACUGAAGUAGUUUCAUUAGUUUCAUUCACACAUCAAGAUGAACUUCUUCUAUAAAACAAGAUGAAUAGAUCACAAACAUGGGCAGAGUAUCCUUAAGCUUUUUAUGAUGAGACUCGGUUGGCCAAGGUCUUGAGGAGGAUUUGUUACACCUUUUCUUUUGAGUCACAAAAUGUUUAUCCAUCUCUAAAUCUACUACAGAAAUAUAAAAACUGUGACUUGUUGGCUUGGGCAAAUUAAAACACAGGUUUCGAAGAUGCUCAACUUCUCCCAAACCACCAAGUCCUUGAAGAUUUCCCCUCUGAUUUAGAGCCCAACAGCUUUCCUAGGUUUCAAAGAGUGGAUAAAAUUCAACAUAUUUCCCCUCAGACCAUAGAAAAUGCUUUCUUUCUACAUUGUUCCGGGCUCAGCUCAGGACUAUACUUCGCAGGGAGUCUUCCCUUGCUUUCUGGGGAUUCCUGUUAAUCUUCCAUGUGCUACAGUUUUUCUGUGUUUACACCUCUUGGGAUAUCUUAGGUUUUUCUUUUUUAAGUGCAUGGUAGCAUCUCAUAUACUAGAUGUAGGAUACUAAUUAAGUUUUAUUUUGGGCAUAAAAAAUUAAAUCAGUUUGGGUACUUGUGUCCUUAACUUUCAUUUAUGCAAACUGUUUUCCAUUGAAGAAUGCUUUGGAAAGACAAUCUGAAUACAAGACAAUUUGAAAACCAUCUUGUGGUUUGUCCAGGAAGCUGUUUGCAAAACAGUAUGAGAAAAAAAAGCAGUUAGCAAAAAUAAUUUUUGAUUUUACUUAAUUCCUGUAUUUCACAAUAAAAACACUCUUGGGAUUUUUAAUCUUAGUUUCACUGAUAUCAAACAGAAAAGAAGGUGCAGGAAGCCUUGAAAGUCCAAAAAGAUGGAUGCAUCUGAGGUAGAAUUAUAUUUUCCUUGCUGUAAGUUGCUAUGACAGAGAGCUCGAGACUGUGGUCUAAAAAGAUGUGACUUGAAGGUACAGGUGUAACACAGGUUGGAAGAUUAACACAUUGUUUUCUUAAUGUUACCUGAAGAAGUUCACACAAUCCAUAUUUCCACUCUGUUCAGGAAACCUGCUAUUGACUGGUGAGCCAAACCUGGCUGUGAGUCAGGUUUUGUUAAUUAUUCAGGUCAGAAUAAUUAACAAACAUCCAGACUUAGCAUACUGGACAUAAAUGUUGAGUAUUUACAUAUAAAAGGAUAUAAAAGAUAUUAGUUGCUCCAGAGAAACUACUAAGGCUGCCAGCUUGCCAUGUGCUCCUCAUGGAGAGCUGAAGUACCAUUACCUGGUUUUGCCAGUAAUGGGCAAACAACAGUGUGAUUCUAUGUUAACUCAUACUUAAAAUAAAAUUGCUUGUUUGGUGAUGCAUUUCUGUCCCUUAAUUUGCCCAGUGGUUGAGGUACCUUUAUCUCACAAGCAAAACUGCAGCUUGUAAAAUGUAAUUUGCAGAGGGAGGUUUUAGGAGUAUAUAGUAUCUGAUGAUUUCAGAUUUUCCAAGCAAAUUACAAGAAGGACAAGGGAAGCAGUAUUCAUAAAACACAGUUGAGACGGUGCUUUAAUUUUGAGAACAAUAAAAUAAAAACUCAGUCUUCUAAAGAGCAAGCAUUAUUUGAGAACAUGCAUUGGAUUCAGUAAAUAAACAGCAAAAAAGUGUGAAAGCAUAUUUUUUUCUUUACUAGAAUGGCAAUUAACUUUUUCUGAAAUAAAACUUUCUGCUCUGUAAGUGCUGAAGCAAAACCUUACACUUCAGAAAUACUGAAACGUCUUGCAUUAACAUUACCCAAACAAGCUUUUUGAAUUUUGAGUUCACUGUGGAGUUUUUUUCAUUUAAUGAAGAUGUCUAAUUUUAUUAACUUAUGUAAGUUAUGGGAGCCCAAGUAAAAGGCUAAAGAGAGGUAAUCAUCUGAAAUGAAAAGAAAUAUUUCCUUUCAGGUUGAACAGUCUAGACCAAGAAAUCCGCUAGUUGUUUAAUGCAGUCAUAAGGCUAUUUUUUUAUUCUCUGGCUUAUAAAACAAGCUCUGUAUCAUAUGUGAGAUAAUAAAAGAAUCUUCGCUGCUUUUCUGA